UCCGUAGGCGGUGCGGCAAGUCGGAAGUGAAAUCUCCGGGCUUAACUCGGAGGCUGCUUCCGAAACUGCCGUGCUCGAGUGCGAGAGAGGCAAGUGGAAUUGCGGGUGUAGCGGUGAAAUGCGUAGAUAUCCGCAGGAACAUCCGAGGCGAAAGCGGCUUGCUGGAUCGCAACUGACGCUGAGGGACGAAAGCUAGGGGAGCAAACAGGACUAGAUACCCUGGUAGUCCUAGCCCUAAACCAUCAGGACUUGGGGUUUGCCCUGGUACGGGGCAAGUCCCGGAGCUAACGCGUUAAGUCCUGCGCCUGGGGAGUACGGUCGCAAGGCUAGAA
rnacentral:rRNA from 1 species